rnacentral:piRNA from 1 species
UGAAAACAUCAGCCCCUAACAGAGGAUCAAG